UACGUAGGGUGCAAGCGUUGUCCGGAAUUAUUGGGCGUAAAGAGCUCGUAGGCGGUUUGUCGCGUCGAAUGUGAAAACCCGAGGCUCAACCUCGGGCCUGCAGCCGAUACGGGCAGACUAGAGUUCGGCAGGGGAGACUGGAAUUCCUGGUGUAGCGGUGAAAUGCGCAGAUAUCAGGAGGAACACCGGUGGCGAAGGCGGGUCUCUGGGCCGAUACUGACGCUGAGGAGCGAAAGCGUGGGGAGCGAACAGG
rnacentral:rRNA from 1 species